rnacentral:rRNA from 1 species
UACGGAGGGUGCAAGCGUUGUCCGGAUUUAUUGGGUUUAAAGGGUGCGUAGGUGGCCUUAUAAGUCAGCGGUGAAAGUCUGCAGCUUAACUGUAGAACUGCCAUUGAUACUGUAAGGCUUGAGUACUGAUGAGGUAGGCGGAAUUGAUAGUGUAGCGGUGAAAUGCAUAGAUAUUAUCAAGAACACCGAUUGCGAAGGCAGCUUACUAAGGAGUUACUGACGCUGAGGCACGAAAGCGUGGGGAGCGAACAGG